GGACCAUUAGAUCAGUGGCAGAUCAUCCGGCUCAUAACCGGUCGGUCGCAGGUUCGAUUCCUGCAUGGUCCAC
rnacentral:tRNA from 1 species